rnacentral:lncRNA from 1 species
CGGGUAACUGGUCAGCUUAUAUUACCUGAUAAUAUUAACAUGUCGAUUUCGGGUUGGGUCAUAUUACUCGUUUACCUUAACGGGUAUUACACCCGUUAAGAUAUCUGGUAUGACACGAAAACGACACGAACACAAAAAACACGACACGAAUGUCUGGUCUAAUGUUGGAUAAGUCCUUUGAAUGAGAAUCCUCUCCAUAUCCUCUUAGUGAGGAUUUUAGGGAUCCUCAAAUUAUGUUCGUUCAUUGUACAUCGUGCGGCCAAUUUUCGUCAGGUACUAUUCAUAUUUAGUUUUAAAUAAAAUAUUUAAAAUAAUUUCUAACCGUACGAUGUACGAUGAACAGACACGAUUUGAGGAUCCUCUUAGAAUCCUCACAAAGAGGAUCCGGAAAGAAUCCUCAUUCAAGUCCAUUAACGUACAUUAGAUCAGAUGAGAGGGAACAUAGUAUAGACUUAUAGAUGUUACUUAAUGGCAUAUAGUUGCGAACUUGAUUUGUGAUUAGAUGGUAGCCGGACGUUGUAUCAAAUCUAAUGGUAGUAUAUUAUGUAAGGGUUGGUUUGGAAAAAAAUUAGAAUUUGGUAAAAUAAAAAAAAAAACUUAUUUAAGAAAUUGUUGUCAAUAAUAGUAGAAAAGCAGAAUCAGAGUUUACCAUACUUCUAAAAAAAUGUUUUUUUUUUCAAAACUUAGUGAACAGUACCCGUUUAAUGAAAAUUUUAAAUAACAAGUAUACUUCUGCAUAUUUUACAAAAUUAUAAUAUUUUUCAUUGCAUUAGUCUCUUUGAUAAUUAUUAUAUCACAUUAAAUAAU